rnacentral:rRNA from 1 species
GACGAACGCUGGCGGCGUGCUUAACACAUGCAAGUCGAACGGAAAGGCCCUGCUUUUGUGGGGUGCUCGAGUGGCGAACGGGUGAGUAACACGUGAGUAACCUGCCCUUGACUUUGGGAUAACUUCAGGAAACUGGGGCUAAUACCGGAUAGGAGCUCCUGCUGCAUGGUGGGGGUUGGAAAGUUUCGGCGGUUGGGGAUGGACUCGCGGCUUAUCAGCUUGUUGGUGGGGUAGGGGCUUACCAAGGCUUUGACGGGUAGCCGGCCUGAGAGGGUGACCGGCCACAUUGGGACUGAGAUACGGCCCAGACUCCUACGGGAGGCAGCAGUGGGGAAUAUUGCACAAUGGGCGGAAGCCUGAUGCAGCAACGCCGCGUGCGGGAUGACGGCCUUCGGGUUGUAAACCGCUUUCGCCUGUGACGAAGCGUGAGUGACGGUAAUGUGUAAAGAAGCACCGGCUAACUACGUG